GGAUUAGGCAUGCAAGUCGAACGAGAAGCCUUUGCUUCAAUCCUUCGGGAGAGAAGCUUUGGUGGACAGUGGCGAAAGGGUGAGUAACGCGUGGGUAAUUUGCCUCUAAGUUGGGGAUAGCCUCUGGAAACGGGGGGUAAUACCGAAUGUGGUCGUGUCGCGCCUGCGACACUAUCCAAAGGUGGGGAUCUUCGGACCUACCGCUUGGAGAUGAGCCCGCGUCCCAUCAGCUUGCUGGUAGGGUAAUGGCCUACCAAGGCGAUGACGGGUAGCUGGUCUGAGAGGAUGGUCAGCCACACUGGGACUGAGACACUGCCCAGACUCCUACGGGAGGCUGCAGCCGAGAAUCAUUCGCAAUGCCCGAAAGG
rnacentral:rRNA from 1 species